CAGUAGCCACGGGAAUACGUAGGGUGCAAGCGUUAAUCGGAAUUACUGGGCGUAAAGCGUGCGCAGGCGGUUAUAUAAGACAGAUGUGAAAUCCCCGGGCUCAACCUGGGAACUGCAUUUGUGACUGUAUAGCUAGAGUACGGCAGAGGGGGAUGGAAUUCCGCGUGUAGCAGUGAAAUGCGUAGAUAUGCGGAGGAACACCGAUGGCGAAGGCAAUCCCCUGGGCCUGUACUGACGCUCAUGCACGAAAGCGUGGGGAGCAAACAGGAUUAGAUACCCCCGUAGUCCCUGUCUCUUAUAU
rnacentral:rRNA from 1 species